rnacentral:rRNA from 1 species
CACGUAGGGGGCGCGCGUUGUCCGGAUUUAUUGGGCGUAAAGAGCGAGUAGGCGGCCAGACAGGUCCGUUGUGAAAACUCGAGGCUCAACCUCGAGAUGUCGAUGGAAACCGUCUGGCUAGAGUCCGGAAGAGGAGUGUGGAAUUCCUGGUGUAGCGGUGAAAUGCGCAGAUAUCAGGAAGAACACCUAUGGCGAAGGCAGCACUCUGGGACGGUACUGACGCUGAGACGCGAAAGCGUGGGGAGCGAACAGG